AUUGAACGCUGGCGGCAUGCCUUACACAUGCAAGUCGAACGGUAACAGGUCUUCGGAUGCUGACGAGUGGCGAACGGGUGAGUAAUACAUCGGAACGUGCCUAGUAGUGGGGGAUAACUACUCGAAAGAGUGGCUAAUACCGCAUGAGAUCUACGGAUGAAAGCAGGGGAUCGCAAGACCUUGUGCUACUAGAGCGGCCGAUGGCAGAUUAGGUAGUUGGUGGGAUAAAAGCUUACCAAGCCGACGAUCUGUAGCUGGUCUGAGAGGACGAUCAGCCACACUGGGACUGAGACACGGCCCAGACUCCUACGGGAGGCAGCAGUGGGGAAUUUUGGACAAUGGGCGCAAGCCUGAUCCAGCAAUGCCGCGUGCAGGAUGAAGGCCUUCGGGUUGUAAACUGCUUUUGUACGGAACGAAAAACCCUGGGUUAAUACCCUGGGGUCAUGACGGUACCGUAAGAAUAAGCACCGGCUAACUACGUGCCAGCCGCCGCAGUAAGAC
rnacentral:rRNA from 1 species